UAAACUGGUGUUUAGGAAAGAAGUGUCGA
rnacentral:sRNA from 1 species